rnacentral:rRNA from 1 species
UACGAGGGGGGCGAGCGUUGUUCGGAAUUAUUGGGCGUAAAGGGUGCGUAGGCGGUUUGGUAAGUCUCGUGUGAAAUCUCCGGGCUCAACUCGGAGCCUGCACGAGAAACUGCCGGGCUUGAGUGUGGGAGAGGUGAGUGGAAUUCCUGGUGUAGCGGUGAAAUGCGUAGAUAUCAGGAGGAACACCUGUGGCGAAAGCGGCUCACUGGACCAUAACUGACGCUGAUGCACGAAAGCUGGGGGAGCAAACCGG